rnacentral:rRNA from 1 species
UACGAAGGGGGCUAGCGUUGUUCGGAAUCACUGGGCGUAAAGGGCGCGUAGGCGGCUUUUUAAGUCAGGGGUGAAAUCCUGGAGCUCAACUCCAGAACUGCCUUUGAUACUGAGAAGCUUGAGUCCGGGAGAGGUGAGUGGAACUGCGAGUGUAGAGGUGAAAUUCGUAGAUAUUCGCAAGAACACCAGUGGCGAAGGCGGCUCACUGGCCCGGUACUGACGCUGAGGUGCGAAAGCGUGGGGAGCAAACAGG